UACGUAGGUGGCAAGCGUUAUCCGGAUUUAUUGAGCGUAAAGGGAACGCAGGCGGUCUUUUAAGUCUGAUGUGAAAGCCUUCGGCUUAACCGGAGUAGUGCAUUGGAAACUGGGAGACUUGAGUGCAGAAGAGGAGAGUGGAACUCCAUGUGUAGCGGUGAAAUGCGUAGAUAUAUGGAAGAACACCAGUGGCGAAAGCGGCUCUCUGGUCUGUAACUGACGCUGAGGUUCGAAAGCGUGGGGAGCAAACAGG
rnacentral:rRNA from 1 species